GUUAAUGAGGCGAACCGGGGGAACUGAAACAUCUAAGUACCCCGAGGAAAAGAAAUCAACCGAGAUUCCCCCAGUAGCGGCGAGCGAACGGGGAGGAGCCCAGAGCCUGAAUCAGCAUGUGUGUUAGUGGAAGCGUCUGGAAAGGCGCGCGAUACAGGGUGACAGCCCCGUACACAAAAGCGCAUGUGCUGUGAGCUCGAUGAGUAGGGCGGGACACGUGGUAUCCUGUCUGAAUAUGGGGGGACCAUCCUCCAAGGCUAAAUACUCCUGACUGACCGAUAGUGAACCAGUACCGUGAGGGAAAGGCGAAAAGAACCCCGGCGAGGGGAGUGAAAAAGAACCUGAAACCGU
rnacentral:rRNA from 1 species